GAUAAAGACACAGAGUGCCUUCACUGUACUGAUGGAACAUUCUCAGAUGGCACAUCAUCGUCUUGUCAGAACCACACAAAAUGUGAAUCUGUGGGACUGAAUCUGAUGAAACAAGGAACUGCUUCAACUGAUUUUGAAUGUGGAGAACAUGGUCCAAAGACACGACUAAUGGCAGGAGUAAUACCAGGAGUCAUACUGGUAAUGGCUUUAAUGGCUCUAAUCAUAGCCAUUAUUCUGAAGAAGAAAAUGAGAGAAUCAACUCCGCAAUCAAAGAUCGAAAUACAGAGCAAGGAGAUGAGCCAAGUCUACCGUCCAACAGAAACUAAACCCCUAAAGUCCAUUGACGGUCCUGAACCAACCAGGGACCAAAAAGAAUGUACCAUUACCAUCCCUGAUGGAACUAUGGAUGAUCAAGAUGACGACCAGAGUCUGGAUCCAGCCCCACCCUCAAGCCCCACACAAGAUGGAUCUGUCUCACUCCCAGUUCACCCCCCUCAGCCUGGGUCCCCCCUCCCCC